GACGAACCGUGCGAACGUUAUUCGGAAUCACUGGGCUUAAAGCGCGUGUAGGCGGGCCGGCACGUCGGUCGCUGAAAUCCCCCGGCUCAACCGGGGAAGUGGCACCGAUACGACCGGCCUGGAGGGGGUAGGGGGCGCUGGAACUCACGGUGGAGCGGUGAAAUGCGUUGAUAUCGGAAGGAACUCCGGCGGCGAAAGCGAUGCACUGGCUGGUUUCUGACGCUGAGGUGCGAAAGCCAGGGGAGCAAACGGG
rnacentral:rRNA from 1 species